AUGGCCAAGAGUGUGUGGUCUCUACACGAUGAUGACUCUCUGCUCCCUGUUUAUGGUGAUGAGAGUUCUGAUCCCAAGCUAUGGCUUUUUAAUUUGUGUAACACACUCAGCAAGGAUAAAUUUGUUUCGGUUCUUGUGACAUUAUGGGCAAUAUGGUGGGCACGCAGAAAGGCCAUCCAUGAGCAAGAAUUCCACAGCCUGUUAUCUACACAUCAGUUCAUUGAGAAGUAUCUACACGAGCUCGAGGAGCUCCCAGCGAGACCUUCAGUUAUCAGGUCUACAAGGCAUCCGGCACCGAGGAAUAGUACAGCCUGGAUACCGCCGGAAGCAGGCGAGGUGAAGUUGAACGUUGACGGGGCAGUAGCUAAAUCAUCCAACACCGCGGCGGUGGGCGUUGUUUGCCGCAACGAGGUUGGUCAUUUUAUUGGUGCCUCAGCCGUAGUUUUUAAGGGUAUCACUGAGCCCUCGAUACUCGAAGCGUAUGCAUGCAGGGAGGCCCUCGCCCUCGCCGAGGAUUUGGUCGUGAACAAAGUUCGCAUUGCAUCGGACUGUCUGAGAGUCAUCAACGACCUGAAGAAUCCAGGCCAUCUCGGGGAGUAUUGCAUGAUUGUGCAGGAGAUCAACGACAAGAAGCGGAAUUUCCAGAGCUGUGAGCUCAUCCACGAGCAUCGCGCGAAUAAUGGUGAGGCACAUAGACUAGCUAGAAUGGCUACUACUCUUGAUAGUGGUCGACAUGUGUGGCUCAUUGAUCCUCCGGAUCACCUUUGCAUCCCUUUGAAUUUUGACACAUGA
rnacentral:rRNA from 1 species